GACGAACGCUGGCGGCGUGCUUAACACAUGCAAGUCGAACGGAAAGGCCCUGCUUUUGUGGGGUGCUCGAGUGGCGAACGGGUGAGUAACACGCGAGUAACCUGCCCUUGACUUUGGGAUAACUUCAGGAAACUGGGGCUAAUACCGGAUAGGAGCUCCUGCUGCAUGGUGGGGGUUGGAAAGUUUCGGCGGUUGGGGAUGGACGCGCGGCUUAUCAGCUUGUUGGUGGGGUAGUGGCUUACCAAGGCUUUGACGGGUAGCCGGCCUGAGAGGGUGACCGGCCACAUUGGGACUGAGAUACGGCCCAGACUCCUACGGGAGGCAGCAGUGGGGAAUAUUGCACAAUGGGCGGAAGCCUGAUGCAGCAACGCCGCGUGCGUGAUGACGGCCUUCGGGUUGUAAACCGCUUUCGCCUGUGACGAAGCGUGAGUGACGGUAAUGGGUAAAGAAGCACCGGCUAACUACGUG
rnacentral:rRNA from 1 species